UACGUAGGGACCAAGCGUUGUUCGGAUUUACUGGGCGUAAAGGGCGCGUAGGCGGCGCGGUAAGUCACUUGUGAAAUCUCUGAGCUUAACUCAGAACGGCCAAGUGAUACUGCAGUGCUAGAGUGUGGAAGGGGCAAUCGGAAUUCUUGGUGUAGCGGUGAAAUGCGUAGAUAUCAAGAGGAACACCUGAGGUGAAGACGGGUUGCUGGGCCAACACUGACGCUGACUGCGCGAAAGCCAGGGGAGCAAACGGG
rnacentral:rRNA from 1 species